CCCCUAGUAGCGGCGAGCGAACGGGGAGGAGCCCAGAGUCUGAAUCAGUUUGUGUGUUAGUGGAAGCGUCUGGAAAGUCGCACGGUACAGGGUGAUAGUCCCGUACACAAAAACACACUUGCUGUGAACUCGAUGAGUAGGGCGGGACACGUGACAUCCUGUCUGAAUAUGGGGGGACCAUCCUCCAAGGCUAAAUACUCCUGACUGACCGAUAGUGAACCAGUACCGUGAGGGAAAGGCGAAAAGAACCCCGGCGAGGGGAGUGAAAUAGAACCUGAAACCGUGUACGUACAAGCAGUGGGAGCACCUUCGUGGUGUGACUGCGUACCUUUUGUAUAAUGGGUCAGCGACUUAUAUUUUGUAGCAAGGUUAACCGAAUAGGGGAGCCGUAGGGAAACCGAGUCUUAACUGGGCGUCUAGUUGCAAGGUAUAGACCCGAAACCCGGUGAUCUAGCCAUGGGCAGGUUGAAGGUUGGGUAACACUAACUGGAGGACCGAACCGACUAAUGUUGAAAAAUUAGCGGAUGACUUGUGGCUGGGGGUGAAAGGCCAAUCAAACCGGGAGAUAGCUGGUUCUCCCCGAAAGCUAUUUAGGUAGCGCCUCGUGAACUCAUCUUCGGGGGUAGAGCACUGUUUCGGCUAGGGGGCCAUCCCGGCUUACCAAACCGAUGCAAACUCCGAAUACCGAAGAAUGUUAUCACGGGAGACACACGGCGGGUGCUAACGUCCGUCGUGAAGAGGGAAACAACCCAGACCGCCAGCUAAGGUCCCAAAGUCAUGGUUAAGUGGGAAACGAUGUGGGAAGGCAUAGACAGCCAGGAUGUUGGCUUAGAAGCAGCCAUCAUUUAAAGAAAGCGUAAUAGCUCACUGGUCGAGUCGGCCUGCGCGGAAGAUGUAACGGGGCUAAACCAUGCACCGAAGCUGCGGCAGCGACACUUAGGUGUUGUUGGGUAGGGGAGCGUUCUGUAAGCCGUUGAAGGUGACCUGUGAGGGUUGCUGGAGGUAUCAGAAGUGCGAAUGCUGACAUAAGUAACGAUAAUGCGGGUGAAAAACCCGCACGCCGGAAGACCAAGGGUUCCUGUCCAACGUUAAUCGGGGCAGGGUGAGUCGACCCCUAAGGCGAGGCUGAAAAGCGUAGUCGAUGGGAAACAGGUUAAUAUUCCUGUACUUGGUGUUACUGCGAAGGGGGGACGGAGAAGGCUAGGCUAGCCGGGCGACGGUUGUCCCGGUUUAAGCAUGUAGGCGGAGUGACUUGGUAAAUCCGGUUGCUUAUCAACGCUGAGGUGUGAUGACGAGUCACUACGGUGAUGAAGUAGUUGAUGCCAAGCUUCCAGGAAAAGCCUCUAAGCAUCAGGUAACAUUAAAUCGUACCCCAAACCGACACAGGUGGUCAGGUAGAGAAUACUCAGGCGCUUGAGAGAACUCGGGUGAAGGAACUAGGCAAAAUGGUGCCGUAACUUCGGGAGAAGGCACGCUGGCAUUAGGUAAUGGGACUUGCUCCCGGCGCCGAAGCCAGUCGCAGAUACCAGCUGGCUGCAACUGUUUAAUAAAAACACAGCACUGUGCAAACACGAAAGUGGACGUAUACGGUGUGACGCCUGCCCGGUGCUGGAAGGUUAAUUGAUGGGGUCAGCCUUACGGCGAAGCUCUUGAUCGAAGCCCCAGUAAACGGCGGCCGUAACUAUAACGGUCCUAAGGUAGCGAAAUUCCUUGUCGGGUAAGUUCCGACCUGCACGAAUGGCGUAAUGAUGGCCAGGCUGUCUCCACCCGAGACUCAGUGAAAUUGAACUCGCUGUGAAGAUGCAGUGUACCCGCGGCAAGACGGAAAGACCCCGUGAACCUUUACUAUAGCUUGACACUGAACAUUGAGCCUUGAUGUGUAGGAUAGGUGGGAGGCAUUGAAGUGUGGACGCCAGUCUGCAUGGAGCCAACCUUGAAAUACCACCCUUUAAUGUUUGAUGUUCUAACUCGGCCCCGUGAUCCGGGGUGAGGACAGUGUCUGGUGGGUAGUUUGACUGGGGCGGUCUCCUCCCAAAGAGUAACGGAGGAGCACGAAGGUUAGCUAAUCACGGUCGGACAUCGUGAGGUUAGUGCAAAGGCAUAAGCUAGCUUGACUGCGAGAGUGACGGCUCGAGCAGGUACGAAAGUAGGUCUUAGUGAUCCGGUGGUUCUGAAUGGAAGGGCCAUCGCUCAACGGAUAAAAGGUACUCCGGGGAUAACAGGCUGAUACCGCCCAAGAGUUCAUAUCGACGGCGGUGUUUGGCACCUCGAUGUCGGCUCAUCACAUCCUGGGGCUGAAGUAGGUCCCAAGGGUAUGGCUGUUCGCCAUUUAAAGUGGUACGCGAGCUGGGUUUAGAACGUCGUGAGACAGUUCGGUCCCUAUCUGCCGUGGGCGUUGGAAGAUUGAGAGGGGCUGCUCCUAGUACGAGAGGACCGGAGUGGACGAAUCACUGGUGUUCGGGUUGUCAUGCCAAUGGCAUUGCCCGGUAGCUAAAUUCGGAAGAGAUAACCGCUGAAAGCAUCUAAGCGGGAAACUUGCCUCGAGAUGAGUCUUCCCUGGGGCUUUAAGCCCCCUGAAGGAACGUUAAAGACUAUGACGUUGAUAGGCUGGGUGUGUAAGUGCAGCGAUGCAUUGAGCUAACCAGUACUAAUGAUCCGUGAGGCUUAACCUU
rnacentral:rRNA from 1 species